CUUAGGUAUUGCAUCAGGAGUUAGGAGAGUCAGAGUUAUAACAAAGAAGAUCGUGUGGCUCCUUUGAAGAAAAAGUGAGAAUAAGCAGCAAGAUUAAAGCCAUAAAAAACUAGAAUAAUGAUUGACUCAAUUUUGAUGAACUGAAAAGGCUAUGGAUAACAAGAGUUCCAGAACUUCCUUUUCUAUGAAGUCCUGUGCCUGCUCAUUGAAAAACAAUGAAUCAGUCUAGACUUGCAAGACGAAAUAAUUCCCUCAAAGCUGGACAUUUAUAUAUUAUUUAUGUAGCAUAUUUCAAUAUUGAUGGUAUAGCCUCAUAUACAGUUGAUUGUAAAACCAUUCUUUCUGUUAGAGUAGGUAGGCAGACAUGAGCAGGGCAGGAGAAGCCCACCCACACAUACCAGGAAUGUCAAGAGAGCAUCAGGUGAUGGUCAGGCAGCUGUUAAACUGCCUCUCUAACAUAAUAAUUGAUUCCAGCUGGUACCGGUGAAAGGCAGUCUCCCAACAGAUAGAAAACACCUGAAGCUGGUGAUCAGCAGCUUUAGAAAACACGGGAAGCUGGUGAUCAGCAGCUUCCAGAUAAGAUCUCAGCACUCUAAGAGACAAGAUGGUGGAAUUUAACUAGUAUAUGACCUUUCUUUAGGAACGCUCAACUGGUAUCCAGAUGCAGAAGUCUUACUUCCUGCUUUUCUAUGACAUCAUCCUUCAGAAGGCGGGGCAUAGGCAAGAACAUGAUAAAGCACUUCUCCUUCCUGCCAUCAUGUGAAGAAGGAUGUGUUUGCUUCCCCUUCUGCCAGGAUUGUACGUUUCCUGAAGCCUCCCCAGCCUGCAGAACUGCAUUCACAUUCACUCACCACUUACUGACUCACCCGGAGCAACUUCCAGCCCUGCAAGCUUCAUUUAUGAAAAGAAUAGCUAGCAUGAUGUAUUUCAAGUUUCUGGCAUGUCAUUUUCACUGAGACGUCUGAAGACCAGAAAGACUUUGCAGAAUUUCAAAACACUUAUUAGAUGGUUUUGAGACUAGCAGAUUAAUACACAUUUGGUUUUUCAAUGUACAGCCGUAAAUGGACAUGGAAUGACCAAAAAGCUGCAUUAAGCUUCAUGGAGACCAUUCAGUUUUCCACAGUAGUGUUUGGUGUAUACAGUAAAGAAGAUAGAGAGAAGGAGAGGAAGCUAGUGAGAGGGAGGGGGAGAAAAGAGGGACUUUACUGGGUUGCAUAAUGAUAGUCAAAAUAGUUUAAGGAAAGCAAAAUUUUAUAAUAAAUUAAUACAUUUAGCCUUUUUUAUUUCUCUUAAAAUUUUUGUUUGGACCCAGAAUAAAUUUUUAUUUAACUUAUAUUUCUCAGUGUUGACAUAAGGUACAAAUUCAUUAAAUUUUUACCUUUGCCAGAAUUACUCUUUUUACCUUUAUACACCAAUAAAAGGAUGAUAAAAUUUAAGUUUAAAGAGAUUACAUUUAGGCCAGGCACGGUGGCUCGUGCUUGUAAUCCCAGCACUUUGGGAGGCUGAGGCGGGCAGAUUACUUGAGGACAAGAGUUCAAGAUCAGCCUGGCCAACAUGGCGAAACCUCUCUCUACUAAAAAUUAGCUGGUGUUGGUGCACUUGCCUCUCGUCCCAGCUACUCGGGAGGCUGAGGCACGAGAAUGGUUUGAACUCAGGAGCCAGAGGUUACUGUGUGCUGAGAUUGUGCCACUGCAUUCCAGCCUGGGCAACAAAGUGACACUGUCUGAUAAAACAAACAAACAGACAGAAAGUUUACAUUUAAAUUUGUUUCUAUUUAUAACUCGUUCUCUUUAUUUUACCAAGUUCUAAAUAUAAUUUCUCUAAUUUAUUUGGGUAGAUAAGAUUAAUAAUUCAAGACUUGAUUCUAGAAAACAUAAUCAAAUUUGUUAAGUAACCUGAAUGUGGAUUUUGGUCACUCAAAUCUCUUUUCCUUAAUGUGUGUCAUAAAUGCAUAACAUGACAUUAUUACUAACAACUGUAAAAUACUCCACACAUCAUAAAGUUGAAUGUACAAUUCAUUGAAUUAGUAAAAAAUCCAUGUUAAUUUCAUAAAUGUUCCUAUAGACAACACACAUUUCACUAUAGAUGUGCAAGUACAUUAUCUUAUAUUGUUUGCUUGCUAACUAAUUAAAAUUAUUUUUUCUAUAAUAUUAUAGAAGAGGUUUAUGGCAAUAAUCAACCGGUCUCCUAAAUCUAUGGUUUCCUUGUUAUAUGUUUUGUGGAUAAAAUUGAUUGAAUAAAUGAUAUUUCUCAUAAUCAGUUAAAGGAUGGUAAAAUGCUUUUUCACAAUAUUUAUUCAAAAGUUGCAAAAUGAUCAAAUUAAUUUUCUUGAAAUUAAAACUAUAUAUUAACAUUAAAAAGUUAUCUUAAUCAAAAUGAUCCAAAAUUAAACCUAGACCUUAAGAGUAAUUUAUAACUGAAUUAAAUAUGGUACUAUAUAAUUAAAUUAAGUAUUGUUCUAUAAGUUGGCAUUUUAGAAGGCAUAAAAUGAAAUUAUUUACCCUUAAAUAAUUCAUAGCUUACUGGAAUAAAAUCCUUUUGUGAAAUUAGCUCAUUUGGUUUUUACUCAAUACUAUGUCCCUCAAUUAAACUUUUUGUCCAAUAUAUGUUCAUUUUAAACAAUGAACAUAUAUUUACUCUGAUGCCAAAAGUAUUUAAAUAAUUUUAUGUAUUUUCCAAAAACUUAGUCAGAAAAUAUAUCAAGGUAUAAUUUUAAUAAUUUACAUACAUCACAUAUCUAGCUUCUAUAAUACAAACUCCAUAUUAAUUUCUGUAUAUCACACUAUUAAUGAUUCACUCAAUUCAUUCUGAUUUUUUCUCAAGAGACCUUUGUUUAAUGUCUUAUAUUAAAUAAAAGAAUUUUAGUUUGCUAAUAACAAAAUCAUUAGAAAAACAUUUAAAGUAAUAAAUUGAUUUGUAUUCAUAUAGAAUUUAAAAAAAUUAAAGUUCUAUUUAUAAUUAUGAGACUAUGUUCAAAGCAGAAAAUAAUCUGUUGUAUAUAGAAACACAAACAUGUUUUUUAAAACUGAUUUCUAGUGAAAAUGAUUUGAGAUCAUCUUUAGAGGGCAGCAUCUAACUAGGGAAAGAGGUAUUUCAGGCUAAUAUGUUUGAGCCAUUGCAAUGGUUAUAUCUGGUUGUUGGAAGUUGAUAGCCUAUUAAAACAUCACCGAUUUCAUAAUUCCAAUAUCAGAAGACACUAAAUAACAGCAUCUGACAUUAGUCUCCAUGAAUAAUCCAGUUGAACGUGCACCUCAUUAAAUGUCACCUGUUCUUAAAGGCAUGUGUAUUUUUACAGUAGAUAUUACAGUAUCUCAGAACACAUUUAUUUUUACUCAAAGCAUGGUAAUACAUAGCAAUAGCAAUCUAGGCUUUAACCAAUAUGUAUUAUAAAAAUAAGAGUGGGAGAAUGAAUUUCCAAUAUAUUUUUUAAUCGUAUCAUAGCACAAUUUUUUUUAAUGCUGCAAAGGAAGAAGUAAAAUAAAUGAGGCUAUAUAUUCUUGUAAUCAAAUGAGACUAGGACUUUAAAACAUGGGUCUAAAGAGUAUUUUAUUCCAUAUCCUUUGCCUUAAAAUUAGAAAACAUAAAUGUUAGUUAAAAAUUACUGUGAAAUAUAUGAACUAA
rnacentral:lncRNA from 1 species